rnacentral:lncRNA from 1 species
CUUUCUCCUUUUUCCUGCAGAAGACGACUUCUCAGCUCCUUGGAGGGGUCAGUACAAGGUCUUUUGAGAUGUCCAGCCUGAAAUUGACUAAGACCUCUCAUAAGAAGAAGAGAUGAGGACACAGACACACACAGAGGGACGACCACAUGAGGACACAGGGAGAAGAUGGCAUCUACAAGCCUACGAGAGAGGCUUCAGGAGGAACCAGCCCUGUUCACCCCUUGAUCUCAGAUUUCCAGCCUCCAGAACCGUGAGAAAAUAAAUCUUUGUUGUUUAAGUCACCUGGUAUGUGGAACUUUCUUAUGGAAGUCCUAGAAAACUAAUAUACUGCAUGAAAAGAAACCUUCCUAUAACAUCAUU